GACGGAGGGAGCAAGCGUUGUUCGGAUUUACUGGGCGUAAAGGGCGUCUAGGCUGAUUUGAAAGUCAGAUGUGAAACCCCCCGGCUCAACCGGGGAACUGCAUUUGAUACUGCAAGUCUUGAGUACGGAAGAGGAGAGCGGAAUUCCUGGUGUAGCGGUGAAAUGCGUAGAUAUCAGGAAGAACACCGGUGGCGAAGGCGGCUCUCUGGUCCGAUACUGACGCUGAAGCGCGAAAGUGCGGGGAGCGAACAGGAUUAGAUACCCUGGUAGUCCGCACUGUAAACGAUGGAUACUAGGUGUCAGGGGUACCGACCUCUCUGGUGCCGAAGCAAACGCAUUAAGUAUCCCGCCUGGGGAGUACGGUCGCAAGGCUGAA
rnacentral:rRNA from 1 species